rnacentral:sRNA from 1 species
GUAAGGAACUGGUAGCGCACUCCAGCGAUUAUCUGGAUAGCCAGUUGAACCUGCGUAUGCGCUUGGCCGUACGGACCCAUCUGGCCAUGUGUCGUAAUUGCCGACGCUUUAUCCGUCAGAUGCGCCUGAGCCAAUUGGUUUUGCGCAGGCUGCCGCAAGGGCAGAAUGCCGAGCUUGAUGCCUUGGCCCAACGCUUGGCCGAACUACGGCGUCAAUCCUCCUGAGGCGUUCUUGUGCGUGAUUUUUCGCG